AUCAUGGGUUUUCAAAAACCACUUGAGAACUAAUGAUGCACAUUCUUGACUAUGGACAAACCUGUGAUUUGUGUAAUUUAACAGAAAGUUUCAACAUCAGUCAUUGUAAAUGAAGGAAGAAAAAAGAUACUCGUUUUAAACAGUACAUUGCGGGAGGGAAGCUGAUGAGGGGAGCAUAAGCGCAUUAUUUAGGAAUGUGCUUCAGCUUGUUUACCAAGGGCUACUGAAUCACAUAAAAUAAUUUUGGACAGAGAAGAGCUUGCGAACUCAAUCACCAAGAAGCACAUCCAUCUAUGAAACACUAUCGAGUCGACGGCUGUAUUCUCUAAUGACUACUUGACACUGCACUGCAUGAAAAGGCUGGUUUCUGGACUGGACAUGCCUGCACACGAUCCCAAAAAUGCUCAAGUCCUGACUGUUUACCCGAAAGUUUCCUACAUCUUCAGGCUGACAGACUUCUUUACCUGAGAAGCUUCCUACAUCUUCAGGCUGACACACUACUUUACCCGUGAAGCUUCCUACAUCUUCGGGCUGACACACUACCAUGACUGUUAUCUAAGGACUAGGCAACACUGGACUCUGAAACCUUUACAGUGCCUGAGCCUGUGCUUUACUUUUGUGACCUACAUUCAUAACAUUUUAUUACUUUUAUUUGUAACUCUGUUAAAUGGAUAUGUAUUUUAAUAAAAUAUUUAAAUUUG